rnacentral:rRNA from 1 species
GUGAGGAAUAUUGCGCAAUGGAGGCAACUCUGACGCAGCCAUGCCGCGUGCAGGAAGAAGGCGCUACGCGUUGUAAACUGCUUUUAACCGGGAAGAAACCCCAGGACGUGUCCUGGGUUGACGGUACCGGAGGAAUAAGCACCGGCUAACUUCGUGCCAGCAGCCGCGGUAAUACGAAGGGUGCAAGCGUUAUCCGGAUUCAUUGGGUUUAAAGGGUGCGUAGGCGGAGCGUUAAGUCAGUGGUGAAAUCCUGCAGCUUAACUGUAGACUUGCCAUUGAUACUGGCGCUCUUAAGUGCGCUUGAAGUGGGCGGAAUGUGCCGUGUAGCGGUGAAAUGCUUAGAUAUGGCACAGAACACCAAUUGCGAAGGCAGCUCACUAAGGCGAUACUGACGCUGAGGCACGAAAGCGUGGGGAUCGAACAGGAUUAGAUACCCUAGUAGUCC